GGUGUUUCUGAUACUGCCUAUGAACACCCUUUCUCACCACCUCUUCACAGACUGAUCAUUUCUAUUCAGUGGCCCAGAAGUUUGAUACAGCAUCUGGGAUUAGGAGAGUUCCCAUCGUGGGCCCGAAGCUGCUGUGGAGCUGGGUCUGGCUGACUCCUCACGCACCAUGCAUGUUCCCUCAGCCCAGCCGCGCAUGCCUUCUUGAUCUGGGACAGGCAGAGAAAGACCCGGCCCUACGGACAGCUCCGGAAUCUCCACUCCUUUCAUCCCCAGGCAGCUGCCCCUGUCACGGAGGCCUUACAUUUCCUUCUCUCCUUCUAGCUGCCCCUCCGGAUUCAGAGAUACCCAUCUGCAGCCAAACGAGCCGUAGCCUCCAGCUCGUUGCGCUGACCGAUUGCCUGUUGCCAGAUUCCGUGAGGUACGGCUGAGGUCCCUCUGAUGCACUGCAGACAUAUCUGGUACGUAUAUCGCUUCCUAAUUUAUGCUUCACCCUGCUCUUUUUUUCCAGGAGAUGAGCUUUUUAGCAGCUACAUGGGUGUUACUGUGGUGACUGUAACCAGGCAAAAACAUACAGUUCGCGCUGAGAUGUUCUACAUUUGUGGACUUGGAUAUGAUUAAGAGAUUUUUAAAGGCAUGGUGUAUUUUUUUUGCCCUUCCCUGCAGAACAGAGAGAGGUUUCUAAUGAAUUUUCAGCUAUAAAGUGGAAAUGUAUGAUUCAUCUUCAAAAGUAUGUGUGUAUUAGUUUAUAUAUAAACACACAGAUAUUAUGAACACAAACGUUGUGCCUUUUAGAUACUUAAAGAUUUCGAAGAGCUUUUCACCAAGCAUAAUUAAGAUUGUUUAGAUGUUUUGACUCUGUGUUUCUUUAUGCUUUAUGUGGAUUUCUCGUAAAAUUUAAUUUUAACUUAGAACGUCCAAGGUUUAUAAUUCUUGGGGUUUGAAUAAUUACAUUAUCGCUGUAAUAUAUUUUACUGUAAAUCACCGCCACGUAGCUUUUACAUUGCCUCCAUCUUCAUUUUUUUUUCCUAUUGUAUAAUGUAAUUUCCCUGGUGUAUGAGGCUUCUGAGGAGACAGCACUCCGUGAUUCUCACCUGGUGAGUGCCUUUCCAAAAAAAACGCGAGAGUGUGUUGUCUGAAAGAAGUGAUUAUUACUCUUGAAACCCAGAACUACGUGAGUUUUGAACCCAAUUAACUUGGUUAUUUAGAGAAAUGAAAUAGAACAAAUGGAGCAAUUAAUGAAAAAGAGGAUUGUAGUGCAAACCUAAAUUUUUAAUAUACUGAUAACUGCAUAUUAAUCUCAGCAAUUAGAUAUGAGCUGCUAUUUUCCUCCAGUGUGCAACUCUCUCUCUGAAACUGUAGUGAAUGUUAAUAAUAUGCUAUAAAACUGAUAAUCUGUUUCUCUAAGAUCAUUUAAGAAAAAAAAAGAAAAGAAAAAGGACCAAAUGCUGCAUUUCUUAAGGAAUCCAUUUUUAGUGUCUUAUAAGCUAACAGAGGACUGGCAUGAAAAUCCUCCAUAAUACAGCCCAUUUUCAGUCAACAGAGUCACUGAAUGAAAGGGUAGGAGGCAUGCUUUGAUUGGGUAGUUUGAGUGCCUUCCUAUUACAACCACUGCACUUUACCUGUUUAAUUUAGUGCCCAACCUGGUAGCUCAUGUGUAACCACAGCAGAUCCCCCUGUGAGGCAUCAAGCCUUGAUCUGGACACUGAGGAAGGGAGAGGGUUGGGAUGGAAAAUUGUUUUGUUCAGUCUUUUGUUCCAGCUGUGAACCACCCCUAUCAUUAAAAAUCUAUGCAACUUUUUGGGGGGCUCCACAACGGGCAUUAUAGGGAGUAUAAGCAACAAUUUAAUUAGUUUAAUGAAGAGCUUAGAUACCUGCUCUGGGUUCAUUGUAGGCUUGACAGGGGAUCUGUGACUGUACUUUCAAAACAAUGCCUGCAACUCUGAACUUUGCCUCUUUCUUUUUUAUUUUUUUUCCCUAGUACUUAAAAUAAUCUCAGUGUGUUUAAAAAUUAAAUGUAAAGUUGCAAAAGAGGCUGAACAGGGGCUCCUCUGGGUCUGGUUCCAUACUGCAUUGCGGCUUGCCCUUCUUUUUGCCAUCCUAUGUUUGUUCCAGUAAAUUAAGUGACUGGGGAAGACAUGAGCAUGGUCCAGAGCUUAUUCAAGUCUGCCAUUUGUUUCCUGAAUGACCUGUCUGUAAAAUCUCAGACAACUCAGGCCAACACAAAGGAAAGGGAAAGCCCAGUCUUGAAGUGUGAGGGUGAGGGAGAGAGCUGAGUACGCCCUGAGUCGACCUUGCCUUUUAAGUUGCAUUCUGAACUUGGGAUUUGAUGUUUCAGGAAAGACUUGACAUUGUCUGUGUUUUGUUACAUUUGAUCAUUCUAACUUCCCCAACAGCAAAGGUUGCUCUUUGAAACCCUCAAUAGCCAUUUGUUGUUCUUGCUUCACAUUCAAAAUCAAACAGGCACGAUAGAAAUUUCAUGUACCUCCAACUUUUUUCCAUCCCACUUGGUAAACUUGUAUUGAUCCAGCUAAAACAUUUAAUAGGUACCAAGCACACUGUGCUAGGAGAUGUUUUCACGUUUUCCAUUACAUGAUAUUUUUCAGCAUUGGAAAACUUGCUUCGUAUUGCAUGCUGGAAGGUAUGAAUGCUACUGAGUGUAGUAAAAGGGGGGGGGGGGUGACCUCUUACAGGUUCCACAAGAUGGAUUUGCUCUGGAAAAAGUUUGGAGAGGGCUUGGAGGAGAUUGACUGAGGUGGCCACUCCCAGCCCUGAGCACUGACCAGGAGGAUGCCCCUCCAAGAGAGCUUUAUUCCUUGCCUGGAGGGGAAGGGUGUGAGCCCAUGAGCACCCAGCUGUGCUCAGCACCGCGAGCUUUACAUGCUUCCCCUUCAAUUCAAAGAGGGUGAUGUGGAAACAUACCUAUCUUCCUCUUUUCUGUAAUUAAUCCAGAAGUGACCAUAUGGUGCAGCAGUUGCAAACUGAACACACAGUGGUGGUAAGUCUCUAUUGCUUAUUUUGAAUCCAUUCUUUCCUCUCUCUUUUCAAGUCAGCCAUAUCAUUAUUUUGCUCUUGGUGAGCCUUGCUCCAUUUUGAUUUUUACUCUGCUCUGGUUUUUCCCUGCAGUCUCUCAUAACCUGCUCGUGCAACAAAGUAUUAGUUCAUUUUAUCUGGAGGCAGCUGAACUGAUGAUAAACAUAAACUGUUUCAGAAAGUUUUUAGUGGACAGCAGUGUCAAGAAAUAACAAUUGUAAUUACCUCCUUUAUUAUGUUUAUUACUUUUCUAAAUAAUAUUAUUUAGCUGACAAAUAGCAAAUAGAGGCUUUCUUGGAAUUUAUGUUCAUUGCAGAUCUCAUAUCCUCUUCCCCCAAAUUCUAAAUUGUUACAUAAAUUAAAGGACUAAAAUCAUUUUUGGAAUAUAAAUAUCUGGGCAAUAUUGAAGAUAAUUCCUAUUUCUAGCUUUUUUUAUUCAAAUAACAUUUUU